CAGGCUUAACACAUGCAAGUCGAGGGGCAGCAUUUUAGUUUGCUUGCAAACUGACGAUGGCGACCGGCGCACGGGUGAGUAACACGUAUCCAACCUGCCGAUAACUCCGGAAUAGCCUUUCGAAAGAAAGAUUAAUACCGGAUAGUAUACGAAUAUCGCAUGAUAUUUUUAUUAAAGAAUUUCGGUUAUCGAUGGGGAUGCGUUCCAUUAGUUUGUUGGCGGGGUAACGGCCCACCAAGACUACGAUGGAUAGGGGUUCUGAGAGGAAGGUCCCCCACAUUGGAACUGAGACACGGUCCAAACUCCUACGGGAGGCAGCAGUGAGGAAUAUUGGUCAAUGGGCGAGAGCCUGAACCAGCCAAGUAGCGUGAAGGAUGAAGGCUCUAUGGGUCGUAAACUUCUUUUAUAUGGGAAUAAAGUUUUCCACGUGUGGAAUUUUGUAUGUACCAUGUGAAUAAGGAUCGGCUAACUCCGUGCCAGCAGCCGCGGUAAUACGGAGGAUCCGAGCGUUAUCCGGAUUUAUUGGGUUUAAAGGGAGCGUAGGCGGAUUGUUAAGUCAGUUGUGAAAGUUUGCGGCUCAACCGUAAAAUUGCAGUUGAUACUGGCAGUCUUGAGUGCAGUAGAGGUGGGCGGAAUUCGUGGUGUAGCGGUGAAAUGCUUAGAUAUCACGAAGAACUCCGAUUGCGAAGGCAGCUCACUGGAGUGUAACUGACGCUGAUGCUCGAAAGUGUGGGUAUCAAACAGGAUUAGAUACCCUGGUAGUCCACACAGUAAACGAUGAAUACUCGCUGUUUGCGAUAUACAGUAAGCGGCCAAGCGAAAGCAUUAAGUAUUCCACCUGGGGAGUACGCCGGCAACGGUGAAACUCAAAGGAAUUGACGGGGGCCCGCACAAGCGGAGGAACAUGUGGUUUAAUUCGAUGAUACGCGAGGAACCUUACCCGGGCUUAAAUUGCAAAUGAAUUAUGGGGAAACCCAUACGCCGCAAGGCAUUUGUGAAGGUGCUGCAUGGUUGUCGUCAGCUCGUGCCGUGAGGUGUCGGCUUAAGUGCCAUAACGAGCGCAGCCCUUAUCUUCAGUUACUAACAGGUCAUGCUGAGGACUCUGGAGAGACUGCCGUCGUAAGAUGUGAGGAAGGUGGGGAUGACGUCAAAUCAGCACGGCCCUUACGUCCGGGGCUACACACGUGUUACAAUGGGGGGUACAGAAGGCCGCUACCUGGUGACAGGAUGCCAAUCCCAAAAACCUCUCUCAGUUCGGAUCGAAGUCUGCAACCCGACUUCGUGAAGCUGGAUUCGCUAGUAAUCGCGCAUCAGCCAUGGCGCGGUGAAUACGUUCCCGGGCCUUGUACACACCGCCCGUCAAGCCAUGAAAGCCGGGGGUACCUGAAGUACGUAACCGCAAGGAGCGUCCUAGGGUAAAACUGGUAAUUGGGGCUAAGAC
rnacentral:rRNA from 1 species